rnacentral:rRNA from 1 species
AGGUAGGAAUACCCGCUGAACUUAAGCAUAUCAAUAAGCGGAGGAAAAGAAACCAACAGGGAUUGCCCUAGUAACGGCGAGUGAAGCGGCAACAGCUCAAAUUUGAAAUCUGGCUUCGGCCCGAGUUGUAAUUUGCAGAGGAUGUUUUUGGCGCGGUGCCUUCCGAGUUCCCUGGAACGGGACGCCACAGAGGGUGAGAGCCCCGUCUGGUUGGACACCAAGCCUGUGUAAAACUCCUUCAACGAGUCGAGUAGUUUGGGAAUGCUGCUCUAAAUGGGAGGUAAAUCUCUUCUAAAGCUAAAUACCGGCCAGAGACCGAUAGCGCACAAGUAGAGUGAUCGAAAGAUGAAAAGCACCUUGAAAAGGGGGUUAAACAGUACGUGAAAUUGUUGAAAGGGAAGCGUUUAUGACCAGACUUGUGCCGUGUGGCUCAUCCGGGGUUCUCCCCGGUGCACUCCACACGGUUCAGGCCAGCAUCGAUUCUCGCUGGGGGAUAAGAACGGUAGGAACGUGGCCCUCUUCGGAGGGUGUUAUAGCCUAUCGUACGAUACCCUGGCGGGGAUCGAGGACCGCGCUUCGUGCUAGGAUGCUGG